rnacentral:rRNA from 1 species
ACACGUCUACAUUAGAUACCCGGGUAGUCCCAGCCGUAAACUAUGCUCGCUAGGUGUCAGGCAUGGCGCGACCGUGUCUGGUGCCGCAGGGAAGCCGUGAAGCGAGCCACCUGGGAAGUGCGGCCGCAAGGCUGAAACUUAAAGGAAUUGGCGGGGGAGCACAACAACGGGUGGAGCCUGCGGUUUAAUUGGACUCAACGCCGGACAACUCACCGGGAACGACAGCAAUAUGUAGGCCAGGCUGAAGACCUUGCCUGAAUCGCUG